AUGUCUCACGCAUCGCAACAAAUCGACAAUGAAAAGCGCAAAAGCAGAAUCAAAGACUUAGAGAAGAAGAAUAAUAGAGGGAAGAAUUUAUCUCUGGACUUAUCAUCUUCGCCGCUGUGGAAGAGUCAUCGGAGUUCUCUGGUCGAGGUGUUUUCCACGAAGGUGAAGUUGAUCGGUGAAGGAGUAUCGGAUGAGGCAGAGGCUUGA